GGCACCUUUUAGCAUCAAAAUCUAGUUCAUGUUUUGCUUUUUGAGUGUAAACCAAACAAUGACUUUAUGCAAGGAGAGGUUUAUUGCAGCUUCUAGAUAAAUAAGCUUUUGCAUAUUGGAACUAUGGAUAUGCUUUACUUCACAGUUUCUUCAUUAAUAUGAUUAUUUUUGGCUUUGUCCAUACUAGAGCCAAGUGAGAAAUUAUGGAAUUAUCAUUUGUUCAUGAUAGAGAUGAGAUGUACUUUUGGCAAACUCAAUCAGGAUCUUUAGGACACUUUUUGGAUCCUCUCAGUCAACGCAAUCGUGAUGAGACUUGGAAGAAUAUUGUGAAUAUGGCCUUGAAACUGUUAACAUAGAGAAUGACAAGCACGAGAAGAAACAAUCUUUGUGGGAAAUAGUCAAGCUGAUGCAAGAUCCUUGGUCCAACAAGCGAGGAAUGAAGCCACAUAAUUUGGUUUCAAAUGGGGAUAUGAGAUGCCUUGUCCAAAUGGUAUAAACAUGCUCUCCCUAGUGGACUUGUAUGGUGUUAAUCAUUGUACAUUACCGGUUUAUGCAUGUAAACAAAUGCACUAAUUUUGUCCAAUUAA